GAUGAACGCUGGCGGCGUGCCUAAUACAUGCAAGUCGAGCGAACGGACGAGAAGCUUGCUUCUCUGAUGUUAGCGGCGGACGGGUGAGUAACACGUGGAUAACCUACCUAUAAGACUGGGAUAACUUCGGGAAACCGGAGCUAAUACCGGAUGAUAUUUUGAACCGCAUGGUUCAAAAGUGAAAGACGGUCUUGCUGUCACUUAUAGAUGGAUCCGCGCUGCAUUAGCUAGUUGGUAAGGUAACGGCUUACCAAGGCAACGAUGCAUAGCCGACCUGAGAGGGUGAUCGGCCACACUGGAACUGAGACACGGUCCAGACUCCUACGGGAGGCAGCAGUAGGGAAUCUUCCGCAAUGGGCGAAAGCCUGACGGAGCAACGCCGCGUGAGUGAUGAAGGUCUUCGGAUCGUAAAACUCUGUUAUUAGGGAAGAACAUAUGUGUAAGUAACUGUGCACAUCUGACGGUACCUAAUCAGAAAGCCACGGCUAACUACGUG
rnacentral:rRNA from 1 species